UACCCGCUGGAACUUAAGCAUAUCAAUAAGCGGAGGAAAAGAAACCACCAGGGAUUGCCUUAGUAACCGGCGAGUGAAGCGGCAAUAGCUCAAAUUUGAAAUCUGGCUCCGUCGGGGUCCGAGUUGUAAUUUGUAGAGAGUGUUUCGGGUGAGACCACGGUCUAAGUCUAUUGGAACAUGGCGUCAUAGAGGGUGAGAAUCCCGUAUGUGACUGUGGCUCGAGCCCAUGUGAAGCCUCUUCGACGAGUCGAGUUGUUUGGGAAUGCAGCUCAAAAUGGGUGGUAAAUUUCAUCUAAAGCUAAAUACUGGCUGGAGACCGAUAGCGCACAAGUAGAGUGAUCGAAAGAUGAAAAGCACUUUGGAAAGAGAGUCAAAAAGUACGUGAAAUUGUUGAAAGGGAAGCGCUUGCAACCAGACCUGUCCGUAGGUGAUCAGCCGCUGUUCUCAGCGGUGCACUCGCUCUGCGAUCAGGCCAGCAUCGGUUUCGGCGGUCGGAUAAAGGCCUUGGGAAUGUAGCUUCCUUCGGGGAGUCUUAUAGCCCUCGGUGCAAUGCGGCCAGCCGGGACCGAGGACCGCGCUUCGGCUAGGAUGCUGGCGUAAUGGUUGUAAGCGACCCGUCUUGAAACACGGACCAAGGAGUCUACCAUCUAUGCGAGUGUUUGGGUGUUAAACCCAUGCGCGGAAUGAAAGUGAACGGAGGUGAGAACCCUUUAGGGCGCAUCAUCGACCGAUCCAGAUGUCUUCGGAUGGAUUUGAGUAUGAGCAUAGCUGGUGGGACCCGAAAGAUGGUGAACUAUGCCUGAAUAGGGUGAAGCCAGAGGAAA
rnacentral:rRNA from 1 species